CACGUAGAGUGAAAUCUCUUCAAAGAUAAGUGGAACUGGUCUCAACGUUGCCUUUGAACAAGAAAAAAAUUCACUAAAUAUAUUUUAAAUUAUUCAUUGUUAAUUAACUAACGAGUGAGUUAAUCGUGACUAAUAUCGAUUUAAGUAGUCUAGACCAUUUAAUACAAAUUAAGGUACAUAAUUUGAACAGGAAACAGUUUUCGAUUGUUAUUAAUAGAGUACAGACGAGUACUAAUAUUAUCUUCUCUGUCGAUAAUGUAGGGAACGACAUGUUAUUUAAUAAUACAAAAUAUAGGACUUUGUAAUAAGUUGAUCAGAUUGGUGGUUUGAAAAGAAAUUUCUUCAACUAUUUACCGGUUUAUUGUUAAAAAAUAAAUCUUAAACAUAUAUUAAUUAAUAUACAAAGAAAAACCAUUUUCUCAGGAGUUUCUCAGAGUAAUAUAUUUUAUAACAAACUUGUACAAUCCUAGUAACAUACAUCCACAUAAUGGAGAUAGAAAACUCCGUGUUUUUGUCAAGGGUGUCAAACAUUAGAAACUUACAAUUAAUUAAAAGUGCAUUUUCAUGUAUACGUGUAUAUAUGUAUGUAUGUAUGUGUGUACAUGUACAUAAGUGUACAUUAUUUUAUAGCAGAAAAGUCAGUCUUAAAAAAUAAUACGAUGCUAAAUGUACAUGAUAAAAUUACUAUGA